UCUUCACUGCAUCCUCGCGACUAAUGAGAGGCCUGCGCCAGAGUGCCCAGGACUCUCAUUAGCCGCGCGAAACGCUGCACUGAAGAGUGUUAAUUACAGCAACACAAACAAUACAUUACUUUCUGUUUAAUUGCUGCCGUCAGUGUGAAAAAAGGGGCCAUCAGGCCCCUCUUU
rfam:Pluralibacter gergoviae strain JS81F13 contig_10, whole genome shotgun sequence.